UACAGAGGGGGCAAGCGUUGCUCGGAAUUACUGGGCGUAAAGCGCACGUAGGCGGCUUGUUAAGUCGGGGGUGAAAUCCUGGAGCUCAACUCCAGAACUGCCUUCGAUACUGGCGAGCUCGAGUUCGGGAGAGGUGAGUGGAACUGCGAGUGUAGAGGUGAAAUUCGUAGAUAUUCGCAAGAACACCAGUGGCGAAGGCGGCUCACUGGCCCGAUACUGACGCUGAGGUGCGAAAGCGUGGGAGCAAACAGG
rnacentral:rRNA from 1 species